rnacentral:rRNA from 1 species
AAAACGCAGACAGUGGAUGCCUUGCCUCUUACUUCCUAAGAAGGACGUACAUGGCGACGAAACUCGUCGGGGAGCUGCCACGAAGCUUUGAUCCGGCGGUGUCCGAAUGGGGAAACCCACCGCGUAAGCGGUACUUAAAACCCAAAGGGUUCGAGUAAUCGAAUCUAUAAGUUUUAGGAGGGAACCACCCGAACUGAAACAUCUAAGUAGGGUGAGGAAGAGAAAUCAACGAGAUUGCGUCAGUAGCGGCGAGCGAAAGCGCAAGAGCCUAAACCAUCCUUUGCUCCGCAAGGAGUUUUGGAUGGGGUUGCGGGACUCCGAUCUGGGAGUAGUUUGGAUAGAAGAACAACUCGGAAUAGUUGGCCAGAGAAGGUGAAAGCCCUGUAAAUUAAAUCUAAAUUACCUCUAGGAGUAUCCCAAGUACCAUGGGGCACAUACCCUGUGGGAAUCUGGGGGAACCAUCCUCCAAGGCUAAAUAAAGUAAGAGAGCGAUAGCGAACUAGUACCGUGAGGGAAAGGCGAAAAGAAGGGCGGAACGCCCAGUGAAAUAGAACCUGAAACUAUCUGCGGACAAACCGAGAGAGCCGUGCUUGCACGGUGAUCUCGUGCCUAUUGAAGAAUGAACCGGCGAGUUGUCGUACACAUCAAAAGUCUAAGGGCAGCAAUGCUCGUAGGCGUAGGGAAACCGAGUCUUAAAAGGCGAAUAGGUGUGUGUGGCAGACCCGAAACCAGGCGAGCUAACCGCGAGCAGGGUGAACCCCGGCGAAAGCUGGGGGGAGGCCCGAACCCGUUGUCGUUGCAAUGACAUGGGAUGACUUACGGUUAGAGGCAAAAUACCAACCGAGCUUGGAGAUAGCUGGUUCUCCCCGAAAGGUCUAUAGGGACCGUGGUGCUUAAAGUGCGUUGGGGGUAGAGCACUGGAUGGGUAAGGGAGCGUAAGCAACUUUACUCAACCAAACUCCGAAUCCUAGCGUAUGUUCGCACUAGACAGUCACAUCGGGCUAAGCUGAUGUGGCGAGAGGGAAACAUCCCAGACUUUCAGCUAAGGCCUCUAAAUCUAUCUUAAGUUUAAAAGGAAGUUCUUUUCCAAAGACAGCCAGGAGGUUGGCUCAGAAGCAGCCACCCUUUAAAGAAAGCGUAACAGCUCACUGGUCGAUUGGAAAGGGGCGCCUAAAAUUUAUCGAGGAUAAAGGUAGUGCCGAAGCUAAAGAUUUGCCGCAAGGCAUCUGGUAGGGGAGCGUUCCAUAAGCAGUGAAGUCGUCUUGUAAGAGAUGGUGGAGCUUAUGGAAGUGAGAAUGCCGGUAUGAGUAGCGUACAAUCCCAGUGAGAAUCUGGGACACCGAAUACCCAAGGAUUCCGUCGCUAGGUUCGUCCACGACGGGUUAAUCGGUACCUAAGGCGAGGCCAAUUUGGCGUAGUCGAAGGACAACUAGUCAAAAUUCUAGUAUUUAUUUUGAUUCGUUUCCGCGCAAGCGGCAUGCGCAAGCAUGAUAACUGGGGGAUGACUUGGGUGGAUAGUUGGAGCCGGAACGUGAAGUCCGGUGUAAGCUGUUAAGUAGUAUCAGCUGGUAAAUCCGCUGAAACGAUUAAUUGAGCAGUGAUGCAAAGUCCUACGAGAGUGGGGCAAUUCCGACGAUUUCACCUAACAAGAAAAGUCUCGCAGUGAGAAUCAAAGUAAGCCGUACCACAAACCGACACAGGUGGGUUGGGCGAGUAGCCUAAGGUGAGCGAGAGAAGGAUGUUCAAGGAAUUCGGCAAAAAAUCUACCCGUAACUUUGGGAGAUGGGUUGCCCCGAUUAUAUCGGGGCUGCAACUAAAGAUUACUAGUCGACUGUUUAUCAAAAACACAGGUCCCUGCGAAGCCGAAAGGCACGGUAUAGGGGCCAGUGCUGGUAAGUUAAGCGGAUGGGUGUCCCGAUUUAAUCGGGAUGCUCUGAAGUUAAGCUCCAGUAAACGGCAGCAGUAACUAUAACUGUUCUACGGUAGCGAAGUUCCUCGACAGAGUUCCGACCCGCACGAAUGGCGUCACGAGCUAGUAACUGUCUUGAACAUUCACUCGGCGAAAUUGCGUUGGCUGUGAAGACGCGGCCUUGUUCCACC